UACGGGGGGAGCAAACGUUGUUCGGAAUCACUGGGCGUAAAGGGCGCGUAGGCGGCUGAAUAAGUGGGAUGUUAAAUCCCCCGGCUCAACCGGGGACCUGCAUCUCAUACUGUUCAGCUCGAGCACAUCAGAGGAGACUGGAAUUCCCGGUGUAGCGGUGAAAUGCGUAGAUAUCGGGAGGAAUACCUAUGGCGAAAGCAGUCUUCUGGACCAUCACUGACUCUGAUCUGCGAAAGCUAGGGGAGCAAACAGG
rnacentral:rRNA from 1 species